rnacentral:rRNA from 1 species
UACGUAGGUGGCAAGCGUUAUCCGGAUUUAUUGGGUGUAAAGGGAGUGUAGGCGGGAGCGCAAGUCAGAUGUGAAAACUCAGGGCUCAACCCUGAGCCUGCAUUUGAAACUGUGUUUCUUGAGUGCUGGAGAGGCAAUCGGAAUUCCGUGUGUAGCGGUGAAAUGCGUAGAUAUAUGGAAGAACACCAGUGGCGAAAGCGGCUCUCUGGUCUGUAACUGACGCUGAGGUUCGAAAGCGUGGGUAGCAAACAGG